GUGGGGGUAGUUUAAGGGUAAAAUGUUAUCCUCCAAAGUUAAAGAUAAAGGUUCGAGUCCUUUCCCCCCUG
rnacentral:tRNA from 1 species